AGGGCUCAGGCCUGCAAAAGAUCCAACUGAACUAUCAACAAACCUGGGAUUGGAGACACUACCCAGUAGCCCAGGGCGAUGGGAAGCAAGGUCCCUCUAGCCAGGAGAUAAACUACAAUUGGGUCCCAGACCAGUGACCCCCCACCAAGGAAACUGGCAGGUGCAAAGGCCAAGUGUCUUGACCUCUUGUGAUUGAAGCUUUGCAUUCCCAAAGCACAAGACAGUUUUCACAGAGCUAAGAAUAUUCUGACCAUUUAGCAGGCUGCAUGUUGUCCAUCUGAUGAGGCCGUGUGAGGAGAGACGUGGCUAGUGGGACCGGAAGAGGAGACAGUCUUGAGUUGACCAAACUCCAAAGCUGCGCCCGUGGUAUUGGAGUUGUUUUUGAUUCCUCAAGACUUGGACCUUCCCAGAGGCCUCCGGGAUUAAUGUUGACUUGUCCUAUGGAAGAAAGUUCACGCUUUCCAUCCCAUGACCACCUUAGGCCCCAGAAAGCGGCUGCUUGGUAUCUAUGGUCAAAGGAAGAAUUGACCCGCGUGUGAGAUUUUUAUAUGUCAGAUAUUGCUUUUAUAUGAGUGUGACAUCCCACAGGCAGCGGGGUGCAUGGGAGCGUGUGAUAUAUAGAGGGCACUGCCGUGGAUCCUCCCCAAGGAAGAACUUGAAGGGUGGGC